UUUUUCCGAAGUAUAUUCGUAGACUGCAGUGAGUAGUAGCGUGAGGGGCAACCCUCACCUAUCUGUCUCCUUCAUCAUCCCAACCCUUCUGUGUACCAAUCCAUGUUGCUUCCACGGGACAGCCCGCCCUUGAAACGGCGCGGCCUCUGGCCUCACAGCUGGGGAGUGCCCGUGAGAAGGUCGCAAUGACCAAACUCUGCUUUGACCUGCCAUUUAGUCUGAACAUGAUUUUAAAUCGUUAAAACUUUCAACAACGGAUCUCUUGGUUCUCGCAUCGAUGAAGAACGCAGCGAAAUGCGAUAAGUAAUGUGAAUUGCAGAAUUCAGUGAAUCAUCGAAUCUUUGAACGCACAUUGCGCCCUCUGGUAUUCCGGAGGGCAUGCCUGUUCGAGCGUCAUUAAAGACCAUUCACGCCCUCUCUUGAGGAAGUGGUGCUGACGGAUGUGGGGCCUCUCCGGCCUCACACCGUUGAAACGCAUAGGCGGUCCACCCCUCCAGCGGUGAUGUAGUAAAACACUCUUCGUCCGAGCUGAAGGUGGCGAGCUUGCCUCAAACCCCCAAAACACUUCAAGGUUUGACCUCGGAUCAGGUAGGGAUACCCGCUGAACUUAAGCAUAUCAAUAAGCGGAGGA
rnacentral:rRNA from 1 species